UACGUAGGGGGCGAGCGUUGUCCGGAUUUAUUGGGCGUAAAGCGCGUGUAGGCGGUCCGGUAAGUCCGCUGUGAAAGUCGAGGGCUCAACCCUCGAAUGCCGGUGGAUACUGUCGGGCUUGAGUACGGGAGAGGCGAGUGGAAUUCCUGGUGUAGCGGUGAAAUGCGUAGAGAUGUGGAGGAACACCAGUGGCGAAGGCGACUCUUUGGCCUGUAACUGACGCUGAGGCGCGAAAGCGUGGGGAGCAAACAGG
rnacentral:rRNA from 1 species